rnacentral:misc_RNA from 1 species
AUUACUUGUCCUUGUAUCCUCAAAGAAAUUCAGCAAUCAUCUGAUAUUGUUGAAAUUCAAGGGGCUUCUUUGCCAGGGAGCAGAUUCGGGGAAUUUUCAUGUAGCCAGGUUGAACCAGUGAAGUUUCUUGCUCAAAUUAAAAAUAUUGCACAGGCUGUCUCCCAGCUUGACAUGCUUGAAUUAACUGUAGCAAAGAAUUUUUUGUCAGCAUUUUAUCAUUCCAUAGGACAUAGUCAGUUGCCUAUGGAACAACUCUGGAAAUCAACUGAUGACCAAGACAAUUCUGGUGACAAGUUAAUGGCAAAAGGUCAAAUUGAUGCUCAAGUUGGAGGGCAAAAUUCGGGACCUGCCAAAGGGGAAUCACAAAGCACAGA